CGACAAAAGAAUUCCCUUUUUGCAAUUUCUCUUUUCACUUUCAUUCCACUCAUUUCUUCAAUUUUACUCCACAAUUUCUUAGAUCAUUUGCCUUUGCCUAGCUCUAUAUGGAUAUGCUUCUAGAAAAGCAACUAGAGAAAGUGUUUAAAGGAAUUGCAAAAAGUGAAAUAAAAACUGGACAAGGUUUAAAUCAAGAAACGGCAUUGAAGAGAUCGGGAGAUACUUGUUGGAGUUCUCAUUAUGGUACGCUUAUUAAUUUGAUAUAUUUAUUUCCUUCUGUCAUAAAUGUUCUUGAGUAUAUUGGAGAAAAUGGUAAUGAUAAUCCACAAAGGGCUGAAGCGAUUGAUUUGUUAGAUAUUAUGAAUCGAUUUGAAUUUGUCUUUGUGUUGCAUCUUAUGAAAAAGAUUUUGGGAAUCACACAUGAGUUAUCACAAGUUUUACAGAGAAGGGAUCAAGAUAUUGUAAAUGCUAUGAAUCUAGUUAAAGUCUCAAAAUGUCGUUUGCAAGUGAUAAGAGAAAAUGGUUGGGAAUCUUUGUUACUUGAGGUAUUGGAAUUUUGUGGUAAAUAUGAUAUAAUUGUAUUAGAUAUGGACGAUGUCUAUGUAGCUAGAGGGAGAUCAAGUCGUAGAAGUGAAGAAAUGAC
rnacentral:misc_RNA from 1 species